rnacentral:rRNA from 1 species
UACGGAGGGGGCUAGCGUUGUUCGGAAUUACUGGGCGUAAAGGGCGCGUAGGCGGCACGGCAAGUCGGGAGUGAAAGCCCGGGGCUCAACCCCGGAACGUCUUUCGAAACUGCCGAGCUAGAGUGCGGAAGGGGCAACUGGAAUUCCCAGUGUAGCGGUGAAAUGCGUAGAUAUUGGGAAGAACACCUGAGGCGAAGGCGGGUUGCUGGGCCGACACUGACGCUGAGGCGCGAAAGCCAGGGGAGCGAACGGG